AUUGAACGCUGGCGACAGGCCUAACACAUGCAAGUCGAACGAGUGGCGGACGGGUGAGUAAUGUCUGGGAACCUGCCCGAUGGAGGGGGCUAACUACUGGAAACGGUAGCUAAUACCGCAUACCAUCGGAUGUGCCCAGAGGGGAUUAGCUAGCAGGUGGGGUAACGGCUCACCUAGGUGACGAUCCCUAGCUGGCCUGAGAGGAUGACCGGCAACACUGGAACUGAGACACGGUCCAGACUCCUACGGGAGGCAGCAGUGGGGAAUCUUGGACAAUGGGCGCAAGCCUGAUGCAGCCAUGCCGCGUGUAUGAAGAAGGUCUUCGGGUUGUAAAGUACUUUCAGUGAGGAGGCGUUACUCGCAGAAGAAGCACCGGCUAACUCCGUGCCAGCAGCCGCGGUAAUUC
rnacentral:rRNA from 1 species